rnacentral:rRNA from 1 species
UACAGAGGUCUCAAGCGUUGUUCGGAUUCACUGGGCGUAAAGGGUGCGUAGGUGGCGCCGUAAGUCAGGUGUGAAAUUUCGGAGCUUAACUCCGAAACUGCAUUUGAUACUGCGGUGCUUGAGGACUGGAGAGGAGACUGGAAUUUACGGUGUAGCAGUGAAAUGCGUAGAGAUCGUAAGGAAGACCAGUGGCGAAGGCGGGUCUCUGGACAGUUCCUGACACUGAGGCGCGAAGGCCAGGGGAGCAAACGGG